rnacentral:rRNA from 1 species
GUUUCCGUAGGUGAGUCGCCUUAACCCCGGCCCCCCCCCGUGUUUUGUGUGACGACCGUAUGCUAACGUGUGAUUUUAGUGAACCUGCGGAAGGAUCAUU